rnacentral:rRNA from 1 species
GGCCUACCAUGGUGGUAACGGGUGACGGAGGAUUAGGGUUCGAUUCCGGAGAGGGAGCCUGAGAGAUGGCUACCACAUCCAAGGAAGGCAGCAGGCGCGCAAAUUACCCAAUCCCGACACGGGGAGGUAGUGACAAUAAAUAACAAUACGGGGCCUUCACGGUCUCGUAAUUGGAAUGAGUACAAUCUAAACCCCUUAACGAGGAACAAUUGGAGGGCAAGUCUGGUGCCAGCAGCCGCGGUAAUUCCAGCUCCAAUAGCGUAUAUUAAAGUUGUUGCAGUUAAAAAGCUCGUAGUUGAAUUUCGGGAUCAAUGUUUCGGUCAUGCCGUUGGUAUGUACUGAUAUUAUUGAUUUCUCACCUUCUAAAGAACCGUAAUGCCAUUAAUUUGGUGUCACGGGGAAUUAGGACUGUUACCUUGAAAAAAUUAGAGUGUUUAAAGCAGGCUCACGCUUGAAUACAUUAGCAUGGAAUAAUGAAAUAGGACAUCCGAUUCUAUUUUGUUGGUUUCUAGGAUCGAUGUAAUGAUUAAUAGGGAUAGUUGGGGGCAUUCGUAUUCAAUUGUCAGAGGUGAAAUUCUUGGAUUUAUUGAAGACGGACUACUGCGAAAGCAUUUGCCAAGGAUGUUUUCAUUAAUCAAGAACGAAAGUUAGGGGAUCGAAGACGAUCAGAUACCGUCGUAGUCUUAACCAUAAACUAUGCCGACUAGGAAUCAGACGAUGUUAAUUUUUUAAUGACUCGUUUGGCACCUUACG